rnacentral:lncRNA from 1 species
CUCUCAAUAGUACAAAUAAAACCCCCCACAAGAUUAAAGAAGAGAGUUAAAGCAAGAAUCCUCAUGACAAGGGGUGGCUACUCUGGCAUUUUCAAGUCUUGAGGUUGCUGUUUUCCAGGGGGUGAUGUGAUAUGACCCUAGCCAACAUGUAGAGCUGGUUUUGUGGACUGUGCCUGUGUGCUUGUGAGAAAGCAGAGCGACAGAGGGAGGCAGAGUUAGAGCUAGUUGCAGAAGGAAAGUGCAAUUUCUGAAGGGCAGACCUGCCUGACUUGGAUAUCAGCUUCUCCAUGAAAAUAUGCAGUGCCUAAAAUUUACACUGAUCGAUUUGUUCACGAGAAAGGACAUUUCUAAAAGAGCCAGGAGACUGCCCCCAGAACCAAGAGGAGUACUGGAGAGCAGAAGAUGAAGAAAAACCUUUAAACAGCAGAGCAGUGAAGUGGAGGGAGAGGCGGCCCCUCUCCUUUGCCAGAGACUCCCACUCCCAGAUGCAGGCUGGAGCGAUCCCUCAUAAUUUAAGCUGACACCCCUCAGCGGAGAUGAAAGGAACACCACUCGCUGCUCUCCAACAACAAAUGUCAGCAUCCCUGGAGGCCGUUUAGACACAAACGCAGCAUAAAUCUGACUCCUAGUGGGGAAGUCCAGAGAUUAAGUCUCCACACACAGCCUACCAGAGUGAAAU